CUGAAUUUUGCUGAAAAGUGUUGUUUUUUGAUUGUUUUUAGUGGGGCAUCCAGAGUCUAGGGUUUUCAAGAAGAGUUAGCUCUGGAGAACAAGAUGAUUUUUGGUCAGUAAAAAUAUAUCAAAAUGAAAGAUGUAACAUCCUAAAGGGCACGUUCCAAACUGCUUGACUUGUUACCUUCUGGCAGACUCUUCAG